CAGGUUCAAGAUUAAAAAACCGACUGACAGCUCGCCGGGGAGAGAAUAAUCUGCGCAUGCGCUGUUUUUAAGAUUUUUAAAAGCCACUGCCUACCCUGUCUAAUUACUCACGGCACGUGCCUGCCA